rnacentral:rRNA from 1 species
GUUGGGUAGGGGAGCGUUCUGUAAGCCUGCGAAGGUGUACUGUGAGGUAUGCUGGAGGUAUCAGAAGUGCGAAUGCUGACAUAAGUAACGAUAAUGCGGGUGAAAAACCCGCACGCCGGAAGACCAAGGGUUCCUGUCCAACGUUAAUCGGGGCAGGGUGAGUCGACCCCUAAGGCGAGGCUGAAAAGCGUAGUCGAUGGGAAACGGGUUAAUAUUCCCGUACUGGUGGUAACUGCGAUGGGGGAACGGAGAAGGCUAGGUUGUCCGGGCGACGGUCGUCCCGGUUCAAGCAGGUAGGCAGAGUGAUUAGGCAAAUCCGGUCACUUAAUGCUGAGAUGUGAUGACGAACCACUAAGGUGGUGAAGCAAUUGAUGCCCCGCUUCCAGGAAAAGCCUCUAAGCUUCAGGUUACCAACAAUCGUACCCCAAACCGACACAGGUGGUCAGGUAGAGAAUACUCAGGCGCUUGAGAGAACUCGGGUGAAGGAACUAGGCAAAAUGGUGCCGUAACUUCGGGAGAAGGCACGCUGGCGGUAGGUAAAGUCCCUUGCGGACGGCGCUGAAGCCAGUCGAAGAUACCAGCUGGCUGCAACUGUUUAUUAAAAACACAGCACUGUGCAAACACGAAAGUGGACGUAUACGGUGUGACGCCUGCCCGGUGCUGGAAGGUUAAUUGAUGGGGUCAGCCGUAAGGCGAAGCUCCUGAUCGAAGCCCCAGUAAACGGCGGCCGUAACUAUAACGGUCCUAAGGUAGCGAAAUUCCUUGUCGGGUAAGUUCCGACCUGCACGAAUGGCGUAAUGAUGGCCAGGCUGUCUCCACCCGAGACUCAGUGAAAUUGAACUCGCUGUGAAGAUGCAGUGUACCCGCGGCAAGACGGAAAGACCCCGUGAACCUUUACUAUAGCUUGACACUGAACAUUGAGCCUUGAUGUGUAGGAUAGGUGGGAGGCUUUGAAGUGUGGACGCCAGUCUGCAUGGAGCCAACCUUGAAAUACCACCCUUUAACGUUUGAUGUUCUAACCUAGGCCCAUAAACUGGGUCGGGGACCGUGUCUGGUGGGUAGUUUGACUGGGGCGGUCUCCUCCUAAAGAGUAACGGAGGAGCACGAAGGUUGGCUAAGCAUGGUCGGACAUCAUGCGGUUAGUGCAAAGGCAUAAGCCAGCUUGACUGCGAGAGUGACGGCUCGAGCAGGUACGAAAGUAGGUCUUAGUGAUCCGGUGGUUCUGAAUGGAAGGGCCAUCGCUCAACGGAUAAAAGGUACUCCGGGGAUAACAGGCUGAUACCGCCCAAGAGUUCAUAUCGACGGCGGUGUUUGGCACCUCGAUGUCGGCUCAUCACAUCCUGGGGCUGAAGUAGGUCCCAAGGGUAUGGCUGUUCGCCAUUUAAAGUGGUACGCGAGCUGGGUUUAGAACGUCGUGAGACAGUUCGGUCCCUAUCUGCCGUGGGCGUUGGAAGAUUGAGAGGGGUUGCUCCUAGUACGAGAGGACCGGAGUGAACGCACCACUGGUGUUCGGGUUGUCAUGCCAAUGGCAUUGCCCGGUAGCUAAGUGCGGAAGAGAUAACCGCUGAAAGCAUCUAAGCGGGAAACUUGCCUCGAGAUGAGUCUUCCCUGUCACUUUAAGUGACCUAAAGGAACGUUUAAGACUAAGACGUUGAUAGGCUGGGUGUGUAAGCGUAGCGAUACGUUGAGCUAACCAGUACUAAUGAACCGUGAGGCUUAACCUGACAACACCGAAAGUGUUUUG